rnacentral:rRNA from 1 species
CCUACGGGAGGCAGCAGUGGGGAAUAUUGCACAAUGGGGGAAACCCUGAUGCAGCGACGCCGCGUGAGUGAAGAAGUAAUUCGUUACGUAAAGCUCUAUCAGCAGGGAAGAAACACUGACCUUACGGUCAGCAGACGGUACCUGAGUAAGAAGCCCCGGCGAACUACGUGCCAGCAGCCGCGGUAAUACGUAGGGGGCAAGCGUUAUCCGGAUUUACUGGGUGUAAAGGGAGCGUAGACGGUGCGCCAAGUCUGGAGUGAAAUGCCUCAGCUUAACUGCGGAACUGCUUUUGAAACUGGCGAACUAGAGUGCGGGAGGGGUAAGCGGAAUUCCUAGUGUAGCGGUGAAAUGCGUAGAUAUUAGGAGGAACACCGGUGGCGAAGGCGGCUUACUGGACCGUAACUGACGUUGAGGCUCGAAAGCGUGGGGAGCAAACAGGAUUAGAUACCCUAGUAGUC